rnacentral:rRNA from 1 species
UACGUAGGGGGCAAGCGUUGUCCGGAUUUAUUGGGCGUAAAGGGCGCGUAGGCGGCCACCGCAAGUCGACUGUGAAAUCUCCGGGCUUAACCCGGAAAGGUCAGCCGAUACUGCGGGGCUAGAGUGCAGAAGGGGCAACUGGAAUUCUCGGUGUAGCGGUGAAAUGCGUAGAUAUCGAGAGGAACACCUGCGGCGAAGGCGGGUUGCUGGGCCGACACUGACGCUGAUGCGCGAAAGCCAGGGGAGCGAACGGG